rnacentral:rRNA from 1 species
GGAGAGAAGAGAGAUAACAUACGAAGGACAUGAGCGCCUCCUAGUGCUGUCACGGCGGUAGUAUGUCUGGGAAACUGCCUGAUGGGGGGGAUAACUACUGGAAACGGUAGCUAUACCGCAUAACGUCGCAAGACCAAAGAGGGGGACCUUCGGGCCUCUUGCCAUCAGAUGUGCCCAGAUCGGAUUAGCUAGUAGGUGGGGUAAUGGCUCACCUAGGCGACGAUCCCUAGCUGGUCUGAGAGGAUGACCAGCCACACUGGAACUGAGACACGGUCCAGACUCCUACGGGAGGCAGCAGUGGGGAAUAUUGCACAAUGGGCGCAAGCCUGAUGCAGCCAUGCCGCGUGUGUGAAGAAGGCCUUCGGGUUGUAAAGCACUUUCAGCGAGGAGGAAGGUGGUGAGCUUAAUACGUUCAUCAAUUGACGUUACUCGCAGUAGAAGCACCGGCUAACUCCGUGCCAGCAGCCGCGUGUAAAUACGGAGGGUGCAAGCGUUAAUCGGAAUUACUGGGCGUAAAGCGCACGCAGGCGGUAUGUAAAGUCAGAUGUGAAAUCCCCGGGCUCACACCUGGGAACUGCAUUAGAAACUGGCAAGCUAGAGCUCUCGUAGAGGGGGGUAGAAUCUCCAGGUGUAACGGUGAAAUGCGUAGAGAUCUGGAGGAAUACCGGUGGCGAAGGCGGCCCCGUGGACGAAGACUGACGCUCAGGUGCGAAAGCGUGGGGAGCAAACAGGAUUAGAUACCCUGGUAGUCCACGCUGUAAACAAUGUCGAUUUGGAGGUUGUGCCCUUGAGGCGUGGCUUCCGGAGCUAACGCGUUAAAUCGACCGCCUGGGGAGUACGGCCGCAAGGUUAAAACUCAAAUGAAUUGACGGGGGCCCGCACAAGCGGUGGAGCAUGUGGUUAAUUCGAUGCAACGCGAAGAACCUUACCUACUCUGACAUCCAGAGACUUUCCAAGAGGAUUGGCCUCGAGACUGCUCNGUCAGCUCUGUGUUUAUUUCCUUUUUG